CAGUUAUUCAGAAUCUGCCAUGUGCCGUAGUUUUACGCGGCGAUGUCUUAAAAUCGCUACGAUAGCCUCUCUAUGCAUCCUGCUGCAAUUUUCCCUUGCCGAAGUGGGUGUGAAUAUUGCAUAUAUUUUGAAUCAGACUUUUUUCAGAACUUGUAUGAUCCUUUCAAGCGUAUUUACAAUUAUAUUCAUGAUCAUUAUAUCAACCAUUGGAAUUAUAGUACUCUUUGGACAGAACAGACUCAGACCCUUCAUAUUGGCUAUCUGCCUGUUAGUAUAUCUCACAUUGAAGUCCCUUCUUUGGAUACUCUUUCAAGACCGGGAAAGGACAACGAUAAUGUCUAUAUUGUCAGAUAUAUUCUUUAUCCUGUCCACAAUAUGUACUAUUGUCUCGAUAUUAUUAGUCACAUCAUUGGUCUGGAGGAUCGAACAUACCUGAGACUUUUGUUUCGUUUUCACUAAACAUCAACAUUUGUAUAAAUUGGUUCAAAAAAACAUGUGCUUCCUACGACUAUUUAUACUCCAGAUCCAAACGGUCGGGCUGUGUUUCAUAGUUUUGAUAUGUAAUACUUGUAAUCUUUUCUAUGGCAUACGAUUUGCUAGCAAUUUCGAUGGCCCUGCGCGGAAUCUGCUGAUUGUGUCUAUAAUACUGGACUGUGUUCUAUUCCUGAACAUUUUCUUGGGCAUUUAUGGGGCUCUUCUUCAUAAGCAAUGGCCCUUAAAGCUGUAUAUAUUCACUCUGAUUACCUUCUUCAUAAGUAAGGUAUUGAUUGCGGAUCAAGCUGUUGGCUUUGAUACCGAAUUCUAUUACACCUUGGUGAACCACUGGUACCAUAUGGAAACUGCCUUUUCGGUUUUAUGUUUGAUCUUUGCCUUCUCAUUGUACCUAAAAAUGGACGACUUGGGAGACUUCAAGUAAAAAACCAAAUAAAAUGCGAAUGAUCUGGAAUUAAUAUCAAAAUUAAUUGAGUUUUACAUGAGAACGACGUGUUACACUACAUUAGCUAUUAAUCAUCUAUGGACUUAUUGACGUGAAGGAGAAAAAUAACAAUUUGGCAGUAGCUCUAUAAAUAUAAAUACAAAUAAAUAUAAGCAUGUGUUUCUUUCAGUUUGAGGCCCUGAGAUAUACGGCCAUGAGCGUGAUCAUCGUUUUCGCAGCUUGCAAUUUUCUUGACGACAGUUUUACCGUAAUGACCCUAUGUGAGGGUCAUGAGAAAAUUAAAACAGGUCUAAUCGUAUCGCUUGUAAUGAAUACCGUAGCGUAUAUUCCAAUUGUCACUGGUUUUUAUGGCACCUAUCGCAAUCACAUCUUGAAGCUACAGCAGUUCAUAAUCACAAUGAUGGCAUAUUUUUUCGGCAAAAUCGUACUAAGCAAAUUUUUAGUUCUUUUCGAACUGCCUAAAGUUGAAUUGAUCGUAUCGUAUCAACUAUGUAUUAUCACUUCUGGACUUUGUUUUGUAUUCGCAAUUCCACUAACUGUGAAGCUUUUGGAGAAAGAGAAUGAACCCGAACCCGAAAUUCAAGUUUAAAUUCAUAUAAAUAUUUUUAUUUACCUAUUUUAAA